GAGUGCUUGAAAUUGUCGG
rnacentral:snRNA from 1 species